GAAAGCUCCGUCUAUUUGAGGCUAACUGAGAGCGUCCCUUCCUUUUGUGUUGCCUGGAAACAGACUGUCCGCCUACUAACAUCUGAUCGCGUUUCCCAUUGGUCGCCGUUUCCGGAAGCCCGCCCUCCCGUUUCCGGAAGCUCGGCAGGGUCUGCAGAUGGCGUCCAAGUGUACAGUGGCCAGUGUGAUUCCGCAGUCUUGGGCUGUUCGGCCAAGCGCCCACCGGACGUGGGACGCUGGAGGGUCAGCAGCGUGGAGUCCUGGCCUUCAGCGUCCGCGGCUGGGAAAUCGGCCAUCGCCACGGCGGGAACUAGGACUGGCUGCGUCCCGGCCCUUCCCCAUCCGUCCACCGGACUCGUGGGCGCCCGCACUGGCUCUGAUGUAGUUUCCUGACCUCUGACACGUAUUGUCUCAAGAUUAAAGGAAUCAGGAGCUUCUUUUGCUGUUCUUCUGUUUUGGAUGCAUUGGAAGGAUCUGGAGCUCAGGACCCACUACCCUCCCCCACCCACUGCAAGCUUGAACAUUUGAUGGUGGAAACCCCGCCCUGAGUUUGUAUUAUGGUCCAGAUUUGGAACAAGUCUCUCUAGAGAUUGAACAGAACUGUGCCUGGAUCCCGCCGCAGUGAGGAGACCUGAAGACCAGAGGAAACACAGCAAACAGAGUCUCGCUCUGUUGCCCAGGCUGGAGUGUAGUAUGGCGAUCUCUGCUCACUGCAAGCUCUGCCUUCCGGGUUCACACCAUUCUCCCACCUCAGCCCCUGGAGUAGUUGGGACUACAGGCUCAUGCUACCACACCUGGUUAAUUUUGUUUUUGUGUUUUUAGUAGAAACGGGGUUUCACCGUGUUGGCCAGGAUGGUCUGGAUCUCCUGACCUCGUGAUCUGCCCACCUCUGCCUCUCAAAGUGCUGGGAUUACAGGCCUGAGCCACUAUGCCCGGCUGUUUUUUCAUUUCUAUUAUGAUUUGUUCUGUGGAAUGUCAGUGACUUAGCGGUAUGUUUUUCACAUUUUUAUAAAGCUGAAUAGUUCUGUAUGUCAGCUCAGCACCCCUAGUGUCAGCCAUGCUAGUCUCCUGCUGUGCAUAGAUGGGGGCCCGUCCACACCCAAAUCUCCUGGGUUCCUGCUGUCAGCACCUGAAGGUACCCACCAGAUGUGUCUGUCGCUUCCCUCCAUCCACCUCUCUUGUGUUUCUCAUGUUUCUGCCUCCCUAGAGACCAUUUCUCUCUAGAGCAGUGCUUUCCAAUAGAAAUACAAUGCCA
rnacentral:lncRNA from 1 species